rnacentral:lncRNA from 1 species
UUUUAAUGACCAAUAUAAAUUCAUGUUUUUUCACAUCGAGACUCCAAAUCAGUUGAAAUAUGAGUCAAACGGGUUAGAGUCCACAUUAUGUCGUAUCAAAGAUUAAAAAUUAUCAGGUCAAGGAUCUGUCUAGCCAUAUGCUUUAGUCUAAUGUUUAAAGUUUUCGUUGAGUUUAGUAGCGUGUGUUUGUAAACUAAGUAUGACAUUGAAGUGAUUGGUUCUUUGAUUGCCUCUUCAAGUGAGGUGUGAGUUGAUAUUAAUUUGUUCACUUUUUUAAAGUCGCAUAAAACACGCCCUAUACCCUCGAAUUAGUAAAGUCCCUCACCGGUAGGAGGGUAGCAAACUUAAUGAUUAAGGCUUUCUCUUAAAAACAGAAAACAAAAAUGUAGCUUUGAUCUCUUAUGUUCUAUAGUCGCAUGAUCUUACUUUCUUUUUUUUUUUUUUUUUUAAUUUGGAUAAAUUUUGGCAUCAACAAUAUGUGUUUUCCAUUUUUGAAGUUAUGGUUCUAGUUAUGAAACUUGAAAUAUGCACCAUCACUAGAUUAGCAAUAAAUAAAAGGAAUAUCAAAACCCCUCUCUUAUAUUUUUUUUCCCCCUCUGUCCUUUUGUUUGUGAAAUAGCGAAACUGUUACAAAAUUAUCAAAUGAUUUUCUGCAACUAAAAACUUAAAAGUUGGCUUAACUUUACUUUAAAAUAACAAGACAAAAACAAGAAAAGAAAAAAAAAAGAGUUUUGAUGACCACAAUUUUUCCCCACCCCCUCUUUUACUUUUAUUUUGUGAUCUUUCUCUUUUGUUACAUUAGAAGGAAAGAGACUUUGGGGUUUCGAUCCUGGGUGCCAAGUAGGAGGAAGGAGGAGGGCCACAACGACUAUGGUAAUCCUGCUCGACUUAUUUUGUGAUCUUUUACUUCAACUUUCUUAUUGGAUAGAUCAUUUCAUUUUCC